rnacentral:rRNA from 1 species
AAGGCUUCGGCCUUAGUGGCGCACGGGUGCGUAACGCGUGGGAAUCUGCCCCUGGGUUCGGAAUAACAGCGAGAAAUUGCUGCUAAUACCGGAUGAUGACGUAAGUCCAAAGAUUUAUCGCCCAGGGAUGAGCCCGCGUAGGAUUAGCUAGUUGGUGGGGUAAAGGCUCACCAAGGCGACGAUCCUUAGCUGGUCUGAGAGGAUGAUCAGCCACACUGGGACUGAGACACGGCCCAAACUCCUACGGGAGGCAGCAGUGGGGAAUAUUGGACAAUGGGCGCAAGCCUGAUCCAGCAAUGCCGCGUGAGUGAUGAAGGCCUUAGGGUUGUAAAGCUCUUUUACCCGGGAUGAUAAUGACAGUACCGGGAGAAUAAGCUCCGGCUAACUCCGUGCCAGCAGCCGCGGUAAUACGGAGGGAGCUAGCGUUAUUCGGAAUUACUGGGCGUAAAGCGCACGUAGGCGGCUUUGUAAGUUAGAGGUGAAAGCCUGGAGCUCAACUCCAGAAUUGCCUUUAAGACUGCAUCGCUUGAAUCCAGGAGAGGUGAGUGGAAUUCCGAGUGUAGAGGUGAAAUUCGUAGAUAUUCGGAAGAACACCAGUGGCGAAGGCGGCUCACUGGACUGGUAUUGACGCUGAGGUGCGAAAGCGUGGG